CGCAUGCGUGUUAGACCUGUCAAGAUGGCGGCGUCCGUGAGACAGUGGGCUCGCAGGGUGAUCCGUCUUUCUCACACUAAUAUUACUGGCGCCUCUGGUGGACUUUCGGUUCGGUUCGAUCGCUGCUCAGCCGGAUCGUAUUGCCGUUGUUUCGGCGAUGCAGCGGAAGGCAAACAGACACAUUUUGGCUUCGAAACAGUGCCAGAAGCCGAGAAAGCGAAGCGAGUGUAUAAAGUGUUUGAGAAUGUGGCUCAGAAGUAUGAUGUUAUGAAUGAUGCCAUGAGUCUGGGGAUCCAUCGGUUGUGGAAGGAUAAGCUGCUGCACGUUAUGUGCCCGCAGCCUGGUGCCCGACUCCUGGAUGUGGCAGGUGGAACAGGUGACAUUGCCUUCCGAUUCUUGGAGUAUAUUCGUUUUCAGCAAGAGCGUCAGAGACGCAGGGAAACACGUGCCGUGGAGACACCGUCGUGGCAGGAGCUUUCCACUAACUACUCGACAGAGGACGAGGAUGGGCCCCGGGAAUCAAAGGCUGUGGUCUGUGACAUUAACAAGGAGAUGCUGAAAGUGGGCAAACAGAAAGCUGACAGCAUGGGACUUGUCAGCGGUCUGUCCUGGGUGGUGGGGGAUGCAGAGGAGCUGCCGUUUGAUGAUGAGCAGUUUGAUAUCUACACCAUCGCCUUCGGCAUCCGCAACGUCACUCGCAUAGAUCAGGCUCUCCAAGAGGCUCGCCGUGUCCUGAAACCUGGUGGAAGGUUUAUGUGCUUAGAGUUCAGCAAAGUGACAAAUCCUGUCCUUGCAAGUCUCUACGAUGCAUACAGUUUCCAGAUGAUUCCCAUUUUGGGAGAGGUGAUAGCUGGAGACUGGAAAUCCUACCAGUACCUGGUGGAGAGCAUCCGCAAGUUCCCAGACCAGGAGCGGUUUAAAGAAAUGAUUGAGGACGCAGGGUUCUACUGUGUGCAGUACCACAACCUCACCGGUGGCGUGGUGGCGCUUCACUCCGGCUUCAAGCUGUGACGAACACUUCAAGUAACUCCUAUAAAAAGCCAAAGACUCAACCUACGGCAGAAAGGCCUGAAAUGCCAACUGUCUGCAGACUUCAGAGCUCUCAUCUCUACAGAUGCCACUUCAGUGACCAAAAAUCAGAGCCUGGAUGGCCAUUCUGUUCAUGGAGCUCUGAGGUGGGGAAGGAGGGUGGGACAGAGAACAUUGCACGCGUCAGGAGCAGCGACAGCAGUAAACAAAGCUAAAGUAAAACAUCACGUUGACAGAACCGUCAGAAGAGUCGAGCCAAGUCACUGAUGAUGCUUUUAGGAAAACGUCCAGCGAAGCGUCUUUACGUCAGCGCUGGAAAGUGACUAACUGAUGUUAAUGUGACAGGUUUGAUGUUUCGGUGGUUUGAGACAUACAUCACUCUGCAGUGUCGAACCGAUGCGUUAGCAGCUGCAUCUGGCUCCAAUUCUCUGUUCUCUUUUUCAUCUCUAAUUUAAUUCAAAGUUAUUAAAAACCGUGACCGAUGAGUUGACACAUAAAGAUCCACUUACUGGGAUUAAGCGUAAUGACUCACAUGUGUACCAGCCUUUAUGAUUUACGGGAGUCGCAGCCUGGAACGCUAGAGCAUCGCUCAUGCACAGGGCGCAGUUAUUUCUGCUCGAGCUGAACUGAACCAGGGUGUUUCUUCCUUUAAGCUGCCUCAGAACUGGAUAAUUGCAGACUUUUUAAGGAAAUGUGGAUAUUCUCAUCAGAGUUGACAGAAAUAUGAAAUGUGGAGACUUGAAAAAUCUGUAUUUUCACUGUUAUUCACUGUAAUUAACUGUAGUCUUGUGUGGCCAAACCCUUGAGGAAUCCUUCACUAAAACUAACAGUCAUUCUCUGAUGGUGGGGAGAUGUGACAUUUCAUCACAGUUUUAUUUUUAAUGGGUAGAAAAUGUUUUUCCUCUGCAAUAUAAUGAUAUUUAUUGCAGGAGCAGUUCAUUCAUUUCACCUUCUAUGACGUGAAGUUGUUAUUUGUCACUGGCACCGACUUAAUGAAGGCUAAUCCACUGCUGUGACACACGCCCAUUACACUCCCACGCACGCGGCGACACCACACGCAUGCUCCACGCAGGUGUGAGAGAGGAUUACACCUGUCUCAACAGCCGCCGCCGCGGGUUCCAUCUCGGCGCUCGGCUCCGGCGGCUGACCUCUCAUCUGCCUUAAUGACAUGCUAAUCCCCCAUUCAUGCAGAUGACGUAGGGCUCAACGGAGCUUUCUGUGGACACGCGAGAGGAGCCGACCGGCGCCGCUGCCCGAGAACCCGCGUCAGCUCGCUGGAAAACAAGGCGCGACCUUGCGGAUUUGGGCGUGUGCGGUGCCAGAAGCAUGCAGACGCUUGUCGCGGUGUGACUCAAGGCUGGAUCGUGAACAAAGUUUCGUCCACACUUGUGCUUUCAUUCACCGACCUGGCUCCUGCGCUGCUUGAGCUUGAUCUUGAUGAGCAGGAUGAGGCAAACCAGCGACACGACCACGAAGAAAGCCAGGAAGAUGCCCAUGUCGAAGUAUUCCGUGGGCUGCUGUGGGAAAGGAGCGAGAGGGAAACAAGACCUUGUCAAAUAAUCUUCACAGAAUUCCUGUCUUGUUGUUAGAACAGAGGUUAUUUUACCAUUUUCAUUUGUUUCCACUUGAAAUAUAUGAAAUAUGAAUAAAUGCAAAAGUCAAUUCGAUGUCAUUCUGAAUGAAGCUGAAACUAUUAAUCAAUUAAACCUCAAAGUUAUUUGCCAAAUAUUCAAA